rnacentral:rRNA from 1 species
GAUGAACGCUAGCGGUAGGCAUAACACAUGCAAGUCGAGGGGCAGCUGUCAGUAGUAGCAAUACUAUUGGAGAAAGGCGACCGGCGGAUGGGUGAGUAACGCGUAUGCAACCUAGCUUGUACAGAGGGAUAGUCAUUGGAAACGAUGGGUAAACCCUCGUAAUGUUUUGAGGAGGCAUCUUUUCAAAAAGAGAGUGUAGUAAUACAGGUAUAAGAUGGGCAUGCGUAGGAUUAGGCUAGUUGGUGAUAGUAACGGUACACCAAGGCGACGAUCCUUAGGGGUUCUGAGAGGAAGGUCCCCCACAUUGGAACUGAGAACGGUCCAAACUCCUACGGGAGGCAGCAGUGAGGAAUAUUGGUCAAUGGGCGGAAGCCUGAACCAGCCAUACCGCGUGCAGGAGGAAGGUCUUAUGGAUUGUAAACUGCUUUUGUAUUGGGGUAAUGACGAUGUCGAGAACAUUGGAGAGAAAGUACAAUACGAAUAAGUAUCGGCUAACUCCGUGCCAGCAGCCGCGGUAAUACGGAGGAUACGAGCGUUAUCCGGAUUUAUUGGGUUUAAAGGGUGCGUAGGCGGUUAAGAAGGUCUAUGGUGAAAGCGUUGUGCUUAACACAAUCGAGCUGUAGAAACCGUUUAACUAGAAUAUAAGUGGUGCAGGCGGAAUAAAUCAUGUAGAGGUGACAUUCAUAGAUAUGAUUUAGAACACCGGUCGCGAAGGCAGCUUGCAAAGGUAAAAUUGACGCUGAGGCACGAAGGCGUGGGGAGCGAACAGGCUUAGAUACCCUGGUAGUCCACGCGGUAAACGAUGAUAACUAUAUGUCGGCGAUAUAGUGUCGGUGUAGAAGCGAAAGCGAUAAGUUAUCCACCUGGGGAGUACGAUCGCAAGGUUGAAACUCAAAGGAAUUGACGGGGGCCCGCACAAGCGGAGGAGCAUGUGGUUUAAUUCGAUGAUACGCGAGGAACCUUACCCGGACUUGAACGUGUAAUUAAUAUACAAGAGAUUGUAUAGUAUAGCAAUAUAAAUUAUGCGAGGUGCUGCAUGGUUGUCGUCAGCUCGUGCCGUGAGGUGUCAGGUUAAGUCCUAUAACGAGCGCAACCCUUGUUAAUAGUUACCAGCAUGUGAUGAUGGGGACUCUAUUAAGACUGCCGGCGUAAGCCGAGAGGAAGGAGGGGAUGACGUCAAAUCAGCACGGCCCUUACGUCCGGGGCGACACACGUGCUACAAUGGCUAUUACAGAGGGGAGUUACAUAGUGAUAUGAUACGAAUCUCGAAAGAUAGUCUCAGUACGGAUUGGAGUCUGCAACCCGACUCCAUGAAGAUGGAUUCGCUAGUAAUCGCAGAUCAGCCAUGCUGCGGUGAAUACGUUCCCGGGCCU